AACGUAGGGGACGAACGUUAUCCGGAGUUACUGGGCGUAAAGGGCGUGUAGGCGGUAUGUUAAGUCUGGCGUGAAAGCUCUCGGCUAAACCGGGAGAGGUCGUUGGAUACUGGCACACUAGAGGAUGGUAGAGGCGUGUGGAAUUCCGGGUGUAGUGGUGAAAUGCGUAGAGAUCCGGAGGAACACCAGUGGCGAAGGCGACACGCUGGGCCAUACCUGACGCUAAAGCGCGACAGCAUGGGGAGCAAACGGG
rnacentral:rRNA from 1 species